GAUGCGGUUUCUGUGCGAUGAGGCCCGUGAACCCUGUCAGGUCCGGAAGGAAGCAGCAGUAAGCGGUCAACCUCAGGUGCUGCAGACCUCUCUGCAUCGACU
rnacentral:SRP_RNA from 1 species